GGUGUCUUCGUUCUCGUUGGUUUCGAAGAAUGUCUUUAUUUCUGCCUUCAUUUCAGUGUUUAUCCAGUCAACAUUCAGGAGAAAGUUGCUCAAUUUCCAUGAGGCUGUGCGGUUCUGGGUUGGCUUCUGAAUUCUGAGUUCUAACUUGAUUGCACUGUGGUCUGACUCAUCAUAAAUUUUUUAUGAUACAUUUCUUAAAUUGACAAGUAAAAUUAUAUGGAGUCACCCAUCACUAUUCCUGGGUGACUGGUUCCAGGAUCCUCACUGAGAUGUGAGAAUCUGCAGAUGCUCCAGCCUCUGACAUGAAAUGGCUUAGUGAGUGCAUAUAACCCUGCACGUCCUCCUGUGUAUGUCAGAUCCUCUCCGGAUUACUUAUCAUUCCUGAUACAGGCUACGCACAGCUUCACUCGGGUCCAUUCAACAUACUCAUGCUUUUUGAAAUAUUGGGGAUUUUUUUUCUCUGAAUAUUUUUGAUUUAUAUUUUGUUACACGAACAGCUGUAAACCCUGCAGAUAUGGAGGACCGACUGUGUAUUUAUCAUGUGAAAGAUGAUGUUUUGAUAAGUGUCCUUGUGGAGAUGAGACUAACAAGGGCGAUGACCCUGCAAAUGUUUCAUGUUGGAAUUACCCUGCAAGCUUUCCAGGUCUGCGGAGAGUAGGAACAGCACUUGUCCAUCUGAUUCACGAUCCUUGGAACCUCCUAUAUGCUGCAUCUUUGGAUGGAAAUUGGAGUCCCAGGGACAAAUCAGGCUCCACCUGCUUCCAGAAGCUCCCAGUCCAGGGGCAGUGGGGACCACAGACAUUGUAAGCGAGAGAGAGCCACGUUCAGAUUCAUGGUGUGAGGAAGAGCGAUCCCCUAAGAUGCAGACUCAUGCCUUCAGGUCCCAGCUCCUGCCUUGGGCUAGAGACCAUCCCGCCGAUGAGGAACACACACCCGCGUGGUCCCAUCCCGCUUCCGCACACGGCCCUGAGGUCUCCGGCCUCUGCUUCAUGAGACUUACUCCUUUUGUUGGACCACCAGCGACGAAUGAGAAAGAAGAGGAGGAUGGUGAAGGGGAUGAUGACCACUGA
rnacentral:lncRNA from 1 species